UGCUAACAAGAAGAAAGCUACACGCUACCAU
rnacentral:piRNA from 1 species